CGGCGGACGGGUGAGUAACACGUGGAUAACCUACCUAUAAGACUGGGAUAACUUCGGGAAACCGGAGCUAAUACCGGAUAAUAUUUUGAACCGCAUGGUUCAAAAGUGAAAGACGGUCUUGCUGUCACUUAUAGAUGGAUCCGCGCUGCAUUAACUAGUUGGUAAGGUAACGGCUUACCAAGGCAACGAUGCAUAGCCGACCUGAGAGGGUGAUCGGCCACACUGGAACUGAGACACGGUCCAG
rnacentral:rRNA from 1 species